AAAACGACUCUCGGCAACGGAUAUCUCGGCUCUCGCAUCGAUNAGAACGUAGCAAACUGCGAUACUUGGUGUGAAUUGCAGAAUCCCGUGAACCAUCGAGUUUUUGAACGCAAGUUGCGCCCAAAGCCAAUAGGCCGAGGGCACGUCUGCAUGGGCGUCACGC
rnacentral:rRNA from 1 species